rnacentral:rRNA from 1 species
GAUCAUGGCUCAGGAUGAACGCUAGCUACAGGCUUAACACAUGCAAGUCGAGGGGCAGCAUUGGGAUAGCUUGCUAUUCAGAUGGCGACCGGCGCACGGGUGAGUAACGCGUAUCCAACCUUCCUGCCAGUAGGGAACAGCCCGGCGAAAGUCGGAUUAAUGCCCUAUGUUCUUCAAUGCGGACAUCUAAGUUGAAGGAAAGAUUCAUCGCUGGCAGAUGGGGAUGCGUCCGAUUAGCUUGCCGGCGGGGUAACGGCCCACCGGGGCGACGAUCGGUAGGGGUUCUGAGAGGAAGGUCCCCCACACUGGUACUGAGACACGGACCAGACUCCUACGGGAGGCAGCAGUGAGGAAUAUUGGUCAAUGGGCGUAAGCCUGAACCAGCCAAGUAGCGUGCCAGGAUGACGGCCCUACGGGUUGUAAACUGCUUUUAUGCGGGGAUAAAGUGCGGCACGUGUGCCGCUUUGCAGGUACCGCAUGAAUAAGGACCGGCUAAUUCCGUGCCAGCCGCCGC